rnacentral:rRNA from 1 species
AGGACGAACGCUGGCGGCGUGCUUAACACAUGCAAGUCGAGCGGAAAGGCCCUUCGGGGUACUCGAGCGGCGAACGGGUGAGUAACACGUGGGCAACCUGCCCCUAGCUCUGGGAUAACUCCGGGAAACCGGUGCUAAAUACCGGAUAUUUACCUCAUUUGGCAUCAUUUGAGGUGGAAAGAUUUAUUGGCUAGGGAUGGGCCCGCGGCCUAUCAGCUUGUUGGUGGGGUAAUGGCCUACCAAGGCGACGACGGGUAGCCGGCCUGAGAGGGCGACCGGCCACACUGGAACUGAAACACGGUCCAGACUCCUACGGGAGGCAGCAGUGGGAAUUUGCGCAAUGGGGGAAACCCUGACGCAGCAACGCCGCGUGGAGGAUGAAGCCCUUGGGGCGUAAACUCCUUUCGACCAAGACGAUAAUGACGGUACUGGUGGAAGAAGCACCGGCUAACUCUGCGCCAGCAGCCGC